rnacentral:rRNA from 1 species
UACAGAGGGUGCGAGCGUUAAUCGGAAUUACUGGGCGUAAAGCGUGCGUAGACGGUUAUUUAAGUCGGGUGUGAAAGCCCCGGGCUCAACCUGGGAAUUGCAUUCGAGACUGAAUAGCUAGGGUACGGUAGAGGGAAGCGGAAUUUCCGGUGUAGCGGUGAAAAUGCGUAGAUAUCGGAAGGAACAUCAGUGGCGAAAGCGGCUUCCUGGACCAGAACUGACGAUCAGGCACGAAAGCGUGGGGAGCAAACAGGG